rnacentral:lncRNA from 1 species
AUGGUAACGUCUCUGCCACCUAUCGGUGAGUGUAAUUUGUUGACGGUCCCUAAAACAGGUAGCAGCCAGAACGUAAAUGACGUUGUUGCACAGACAUUGAUGGCGCCAACAUGUGUUUGUGAUUUUUCGCGAUACGGUGUCCUAAACCGUCCUCAACAUACUAAGCCCUAUGGAAGGGGAGAUUUGGAGGUACCUGGUCAGGUCUUGGUCAGCCUUCAAAUCCCAGAUGUGGAGACUGCAGGGAUACCUCACAGAGAAGACACUAAAGAGUCAUCUCUCAUUCAUCGAGUGGACUCAUUGGUUUGCGAAUGACCACAAAGAUGCUCCCAUAGGCAGAUUGCUGCAUGGCAUUCACCACUUAUUCAAAUUGCAGAGGUUGAAGCAGUCUUCCUUGUGGUCACUUGCCAUAACACUGUCAUGUGUUUCAUGAAAACACCAUCAGUAACAUUUAAAUUGAGUUGAUGCAGACGGCUCUUUUUUUUGUCUGAUUUCUUCAGUGUUCAGUGCUUGUUUGUGAGAUAUGCAUUGUUUGAAAGAUAAGCCUUUGAUUUUGUUUAAUUUUAAUAUGCCUUUCAUCAACAGUGGAUUGGGGUUUUAUAACAACAAUUAAAGUGCUUAACUACUGGUGAACGAUGUUGCAGAACAUAUAUGGUUUGUGUUGAUUGCAUGGAGAAGGGAAUAACCAGUUACAACUUGUAUGGUAAGAGCCUGGUAAUACCAUGGAAACAAACGAGGCUUCCUUUUACAGUACAGUUUCAGCUAACUAACUGGGUAAAUUGUCGUGUUUUACUUGGUAACGUCGCACAACGUACAUGGUACAAGUUUGUGUUGACUGCAUGGAAAAGGGAAUAAUGUCUUACAAAUUAUAUGGUAAGAACCCGGUAAUACCAUGGAAACAAACAAGGCUUCCUUUUACAGUACAGUUUCAGCUUAAUUACUGGGUAAAUUGUCGUGUUUUACUUGGUAACGUCGCAGAACGUACAUGGUACAAAUUUGUGUUGACUGCAUGGAAAAGGGAAUAAUGUGUUACAAAUUAUAUGGUAAGAACCUGGUAAUACCAUGGAAACAAACAAGGCUUCCUUUUACAGUACAGUUUCAGCUUAAUUACUGGGUAAAUUGUCGUGUUUUACUUGGUAACGUCGCAGAACGUACAUGGUACAAGUUUGUGUUGACUAGAUGGAAAAGGGAAUAAUGUAUUACAAAUUAUAUGGUAAGAACCUGGUAAUACCAUGGAA